GUUCCUUCAAAAUAAAACACAGACUUCUCCUAAAGUAAAUCUGCUCCAUCGUCUCUUCUGGGCCUCCGUACAUGUGUGGUGGUGACUGUGUCUGCAGAGACUCUGUCCUCUGACUGGAUUUUACUGUUCUGCUCUGUUCUGGUUGACUCGGGACAUUUCUAGGCGGAGCUGGUGUGUUUCCUCCAGCCAAUGACAGCGCAGCAGUGAGAAACACCGAGUGGAUAAAGCUGGUUCUAAAACGAGGGUGAACCUUGUGUUGUCUUUUACCCGUGGACGUGGAGUUGGUCUGCUUCCUGUUGGACAGGCAGGUGACAAACACCGGCGGUUAGCUUGUGAUAGCGUGUGUUAGCUUGCAGUGUAGCUACAAGCAGUAAACGUACACACUACAUCCUGCAGGGGGCGGAGCUUCUGGGGGCGAUGAGCCCAGGAGGAGGGGCCCAGUUUGAAUGUUGAGUUUACAAACAUUUCUGACUCCACCUUUAAGUUGAAGAUCACACAGCUGUAGUGCAGGAUCAUUCGAAUAGUUUGGAGAAAAAACUUCUUUCUGCAGUCAGUUCAACUCUUAAAAAAAUCUAUUCCAGGUUGACAAAGUUUAUAUUUAAAGUUUAAUAAACAAAACUACAAAAAGCAAACCUCCAUGAACAAAUCUU